rnacentral:rRNA from 1 species
UGAGUACGAGCUGCUACGGCAGCGAAGUGGGUGAUGUCAAGCUUCCAAGAAAAGCCCUAUACCCGUUAAGGCAUGACGGCCUGUACCCGAAACCGACACAGGUGGGGUGGUAGAGAAUACCGAGGGGCGCGAGAUAACUCUCUCUAAGGAACUCGGCAAAAUGGCCCCGUAACUUCGGGAGAAGGGGUGCCACCGCAAGGUGGUCGCAGUGAAGAGGCCCAGGCGACUGUUUACCAAAAACACAGGUCUCCGCUAAGUCGCAAGACGAUGUAUGGGGGCUGACGCCUGCCCAGUGCCGGAAGGUUAAGGAAGCUGGUCAGCGCAAGCGAAGCUAGCGACUGAAGCCCCGGUGAACGGCGGCCGUAACUAUAACGGUCCUAAGGUAGCGAAAUUCCUUGUCGGGUAAGUUCCGACCCGCACGAAAGGCGUAACGAUCUGGGCGCUGUCUCGGAGAGAGGCUCGGCGAAAUAGAAUUGUCUGUGAAGAUGCGGACUACGUGCACCCGGACAGAAAGACCCUAUGAAGCUUUACUGUAGCUUGGUAUUGUGCCCGGGCUCUGAAUGCGCAGGAUAGGUGGGAGGCUUUGAUCCAUGGCUUGCGGGUCAUGGUGAGCCAACGGUGAGAUACCACUCUUUCAGAGCUAGGGUUCUAACAGCCACCCGUUAUCCGGGGGCUGGACAGUAUCAGGUGGGCAGUUUGACUGGGGCGGUCGCCUCCUAAAGGUAACGGAGGCGCGCAAAGGUUUGCUCAGGCUGGUUGGAAAUCAGCCGACGAGUGCAAAAGCAGAAGCAAGCUUGACUGUGAGACCAACAAGUCGAACAGGGACGAAAGUCGGCUUUAGUGAUCCGACGGUUCUGAGUGGAAGGGCCGUCGCUCAACGGAUAAAAGUUACUCUAAGGAUAACAGGCUGAUCUCCCCCAAGAGUUCACAUCGACGGGGAGGUUUGGCACCUCGAUGUCGGCUCAUCGCAACCUGGGGCUGAAGUCGGUCCCAAGGGUUGGGCUGUUCGCCCAUUAAAGCGGUACGCGAGCUGGGUUCAGAACGUCGUGAGACAGUUCGGUCCAUAUCCGGUGCAUGCGUAAGAACAUUGAGAGGAGUUCUCCCUAGUACGAGAGGACCGGGAGGAACGCACCUCUGGUGUACCAGUUAUCGUGCCAACGGUAAACGCUGGGUAGCCAUGUGCGGAGAGGAUAACCGCUGAAAGCAUCUAAGUGGGAAGCCCACCUCAAGAUGAGUGUUCUCAUGGCUUAAGCCAGUAAGGUCACGGGAAGAACACCCGUUGAUAGGCUCUACGUGGAAGCGCAGCAAUGUGUGAAGCGGAGGAGUACUAAUAGACCUAGGGC